rnacentral:misc_RNA from 1 species
GGGAUUGAUCCACUUAGAUUGUUGAGAGCAGCGGUGAAGACAGUGAGUCUUGAACAAUUCCCUAGCUCCGCAGGAAUUGGUCCAUCCAGUUGGUUCUGUUGCAAAAUCAAGUUCUCAAGCUGGGAGAGUUGUCCGAGUUGGGGAGGUAUUGGGCCCGUGAGACUGCAUGAGGCCAAACCAAGAGUGACCAAGUUUGCAAGAUUACCAAAGGAGGCAGGAAUAGGCCCACUGAGUUCAUUGUCACCGCUUCUCAUGACGCGGAGACUUGUGAGGGAACCGAGCUGAGUUGGAAUGGAACCAGUGAGUUGGUUCGAGAAUAAAAGCAGAGAUUCCAAUGAAAAAAGGUUUGAAAGGGCAGUUGGGAUGGGACCCGUGAGGCUGUUGGAAGAAAGAUCAAGGUGGAGUAGGUUUUGUAGACGACCUAGAGAAGGUGAUAUUAAACCAGAUAGUGACGAGUCAGAUAAGUUUAGACUCAACACUCGCACUGAGUCAUCAACCGAGCUCAAUCCGCAAGUGAUUCCUCUCCAUUUGCAGAAAUUUGGAUUGCUUUCAUUCCAAUGACGCAAAACAUUUUCUGGGUCUUCCACAAAUGAUUUCUUGACCUCUAAAAGGACAGAUAAAUCCUGGUUUUGGCACAUAACGAAACCAAAUGAAAA